UACGUAGGGGGCAAGCGUUGUCCGGAUUUAUUGGGCGUAAAGAGCGUGUAGGCGGUUUUACAGGUCCGCUGUGAAAACUCGAGGCUCAACCUCGAGCUGUCGGUGGAAACCGUAAGGCUAGAGUCCGGGAGAGGUGAGUGGAAUUCCCAGUGUAGCGGUGAAAUGCGUAGAUAUUGGGAGGAACACCAGUGGCGAAGGCGGCUCACUGGACCGGUACUGACGCUGAGACGCGAAAGCCAGGGGAGCAAACGGG
rnacentral:rRNA from 1 species